rnacentral:tRNA from 1 species
GGGGCGGUAGCUCAUUUGGUAGAGCGCUUCGUUCGCAACGAAGAGGUAGGGAGUUCGACUCUCCUCCGCUCCACCU